AGAGUUUGAUCCUGGCUCAGGAUGAACGCUGGCGGCGUGCUUAACACAUGCAAGUCGAACGGAAAGGCCCAAGCUUGCUUGGGUACUCGAGUGGCGAACGGGUGAGUAACACGUGGGUGAUCUGCCCUGCACUUUGGGAUAAGCCUGGGAAACUGGGUCUAAUACCGAAUAUGACCAUGCGCCUCCUGGUGUGUGGUGGAAAGCUUUUGCGGUGUGGGAUGGGCCCGCGGCCUAUCAGCUUGUUGGUGGGGUAAUGGCCUACCAAGGCGACGACGGGUAGCCGGCCUGAGAGGGUGACCGGCCACACUGGGACUGAGACACGGCCCAAACUCCUACGGGAGGCAGCAGUGGGGAAUCUUGCGCAAUGGGCGAAAGCCUGAUGCAGCGACGCCGCGUGGGGGAUGACGGCCUUCGGGUUGUAAACUCCUUUCGCUAGGGACGAAGCGCAAGUGACGGUACCUGGAGAAGAAGCACCGGCUAACUACGUGCCAGCAGCCGCGGUAAUACGUAGGGUGCGAGCGUUGUCCGGAAUUACUGGGCGUAAAGAGCUCGUAGGUGGUUUGUCGCGUCGUUUGUGUAAGCCCGCAGCUUAACUGCGGGACUGCAGGCGAUACGGGCAUAACUUGAGUGCUGUAGGGGAGACUGGAAUUCCUGGUGUAGCGGUGGAAUGCGCAGAUAUCAGGAGGAACACCGGUGGCGAAGGCGGGUCUCUGGGCAGUAACUGACGCUGAGGAGCGAAAGCGUGGGGAGCGAACAGGAUUAGAUACCCUGGUAGUCC
rnacentral:rRNA from 1 species